UGUGCUGAGGCAGUACGUUGUGCCA
rnacentral:piRNA from 1 species